rnacentral:lncRNA from 1 species
UUAUGCAAGAUCUAUGGGUAGAAAUGCAUGUUAGGGUAUAUGUUGAGUUUAUGGGUUAAUAUUGAUGUUUUGAACAAUGUGGCUUGUUUGAGUAUGUUUGAAGUGUUGUAGUUGGGGUAUUUGAUGUUUUGAGGCCCCUAGGAACUUGUAUGCAUGAUUUGGUUGAGAUAUAUGCUUGAUUUGAGGUUUUGGGAAGCAAGGGGUUCAUGUGAACCAAGUUUCUGCCCCUUCUGGCAGAAACCAGGUUCGGUCGCCGAAGGGAGUUUCGGCCGCCGAACCCCCUUGUGGAGGCAGCCUUCGGCUGCCGAAGCUUGCCCCCGAAAGAGGACUUUCGGAUCUGUCUGGGACUUUCGGCCGCCGAAGGUGCCGCCGAAAGUGCCUGACUUUCGGCUCUGGAGGGACUUUCGGCCGCCGAACCUGCCGCCGAAAGUGCCCUGUUCAGCCAUUUCUUGCAUGUUUUUAUGUGAUGUUUUCAGGAUGUUUUAGGGGGUUUUUGGGGAGUAUAUUAGAGUUGUAAUUACGUAUGUUUGGUCCCUCAUUUGAGUCCACCUGUGUAGGUUCGGACCCGAGGAACCGAGGACCCCAGCAGUGAGUUCAGCUGCGUCGGUGUUGUCAGAGUCAGCCAAAGGUGAGUAGAACUAAAACUUAAUCUUUUAAAUUAAAUGCUUUAUCAUGUUUCAUGCAUCAUGAUUAUGCAAUAGGAUGAUUGCAUUAGUUUUCACGGAUAUGCCGCAUUGCAUAAAUUGUUGUUGUUGUGGGUGAAUGUCGGAUGAUCCAAUUAGUCCAUGACAGGAAGACCAGGCCCCAUGCUACAGGCCUGGCACAGAGUAAGAAAGACCAGGCCCCAUUCUACAGGCCUGGCACAGAGUAAGGAAAGACCAGGAUCCCAUCCUAUGGUCUAGCACGGUUACGGGACUCGAAGACCAGGAGCUCAGAGGAGGCCCUGGGGAAAUGGUAAGUAAAGUAUGUUCUGACAGGAAAGACCAGGACCCCAUUCUACAGGCCUGGCACAGAGUUAACUUGGACUAAUUGGUGAUAAGUU